rnacentral:rRNA from 1 species
UAUUGGACAAUGGGCGAAAGCCUGAUCCAGCAAUGCCGCGUGAGUGAUGAAGGCCCUAGGGUUGUAAAGCUCUUUUACCCGGGAAGAUAAUGACUGUACCGGGAGAAUAAGCCCCGGCUAACUCCGUGCCAGCAGCCGCGGUAAUACGGAGGGGGCUAGCGUUGUUCGGAAUUACUGGGCGUAAAGCGCACGUAGGCGGCUUUGUAAGUCAGAGGUGAAAGCCUGGAGCUCAACUCCAGAACUGCCUUUGAGACUGCAUCGCUUGAAUCCAGGAGAGGUCAGUGGAAUUCCGAGUGUAGAGGUGAAAUUCGUAGAUAUUCGGAAGAACACCAGUGGCGAAGGCGGCUGACUGGACUGGUAUGACGCUGAGGUGCGAAA